AUCACUUCUUGGCCUUUUGGCUAAGAUCAAGUGUAGUAAAUGUUUCCACUACCUACUGAACAAGACGGUACAGGGAUGCCCCCCACCCCAAAACAAUGAUUAGCACAAUGAGAAACUUCACCUAAGGUUGGUUACACCCCAGAUCCCUUCUUUUUUUUUUUUUUUUUUUUUUUUUUGAGGCAGAGUCUCACUCUGU